rnacentral:lncRNA from 1 species
GGAGAGGUUAUUGGGCUGAUAGUCCACGAGUUCAGCCCAUAGUGGGCUUUAAUAGCCCACAACCCGCCCCUCUUUCAAGUCAAACCCUAGAUCUAAUAAGGGGGGUGUGGUGGCUAUGAAAAUAGGGGGAGAAAACUGUAACAGCAAUGUGAUUCAAAAAGAGAAGAAAAGGACAGAAAAAUAAGACAAGGAAAGGGAAG